AGGGCGCACGGUGAAUGCCUUGGCACUAGGAGCCGAUGAAGGACGGGACUAACACCGAUAUGCUUCGGGGAGCUGUAAGUGAGCUUUGAUCCGGAGAUUUCCGAAUGGGGAAACCCACUGUUCGUAAUGGAACAGUAUCUUUAUCUGAAUACAUAGGAUAUUGAAGGCAGACCCGGGGAACUGAAACAUCUAAGUACCCGGAGGAAGAGAAAGCAAAUGCGAUUUCCUGAGUAGCGGCGAGCGAAACGGAAUUAGCCCAAACCAAGAGGCUUGCCUCUUGGGGUUGUAGGACACUCUAUACGGAGUUACAAAGGAACGAAGUAAAUGAAGCGACCUGGAAAGGUCCGUCGAAGAAGGUAACAACCCUGUAGUUGAAACUUCGUUCCCUCUUGAGUGGAUCCUGAGUACGGCGGAACACGUGAAAUUCCGUCGGAAGCUGGGAGGACCAUCUCCCAAGGCUAAAUACUACCUAGUGACCGAUAGUGAACCAGUACCGUGAGGGAAAGGUGAAAAGCACCCCGGAAGGGGAGUGAAAGAGAUCCUGAAACCGUGUGCCUACAAGUAGUCAGAGCCCGUUAACGGGUGAUGGCGUGCCUUUUGUAGAAUGAACCGGCGAGUUACGAUCCCAUGCAAGGUUAAGCUGAUAAGGCGGAGCCGUAGCGAAAGCGAGUCUGAAUAGGGCGUUUAGUAUGUGGUUGUAGACCCGAAACCAGGUGAUCUACCCAUGUCCAGGGUGAAGUUCAGGUAACACUGAAUGGAGGCCCGAACCCACGCACGUUGAAAAGUGCGGGGAUGAGGUGUGGGUAGCGGAGAAAUUCCAAUCGAACCUGGAGAUAGCUGGUUCUCUCCGAAAUAGCUUUAGGGCUAGCCUCAUGUUGUGAGAGUCUUGGAGGUAGAGCACUGAUUGGACUAGGGGCCCCCAACGGGUUACCGAAUUCAGUCAAACUCCGAAUGCCAAAGACUUAUCCAUGGGAGUCAGACUGCGAGUGAUAAGAUCCGUAGUCAAAAGGGAAACAGCCCAGACCACCAGCUAAGGUCCCCAAGUAUACGUUAAGUGGAAAAGGAUGUGGAGUUGCUUAGACAACCAGGAUGUUGGCUUAGAAGCAGCCACCAUUUAAAGAGUGCGUAAUAGCUCACUGGUCGAGUGACUCUGCGCCGAAAAUGUACCGGGGCUAAACGUAUCACCGAAGCUGUGGAUUGACAUCUUUGAUGUCAGUGGUAGGAGAGCGUUCUAAGUGCAGCGAAGUCAGACCGUAAGGACUGGUGGAGCGCUUAGAAGUGAGAAUGCCGGUAUGAGUAGCGAAAGACAAGUGAGAAUCUUGUCCACCGAAUGCCUAAGGUUUCCUGAGGAAGGCUCGUCCGCUCAGGGUUAGUCGGGACCUAAGCCGAGGCUGAAAAGCGUAGGCGAUGGCCAACAGGUUGAUAUUCCUGUACCACCUCCCCGCCGUUUGAGUAAUGGGGGGACGCAGUAGGAUAGGGUAAGCGCGCUGCUGGAUAUGCGCGUUCAAGCAGUUAGGCUGAUGAGUAGGCAAAUCCGCUCAUCAUAAAGGCUGAGCUGUGAUGACGAGGGAAUUAUAGUACCGAAGUUCCUGAUUCCACACUGCCAAGAAAAGCCUCUAGCGAGGCGGGAGGUGCCCGUACCGCAAACCGACACAGGUAGGCGAGGAGAGAAUCCUAAGGUGAUCGAGAGAACUCUCGUUAAGGAACUCGGCAAAAUGACCCCGUAACUUCGGGAGAAGGGGUGCUCUGGUAGGGUGUAUAGCCCGAGAGAGCCGCAGUGAAUAGGCCCAGGCGACUGUUUAGCAAAAACACAGGUCUCUGCGAAGCCGCAAGGCGAAGUAUAGGGGCUGACGCCUGCCCGGUGCUGGAAGGUUAAGAGGAGGGGUUAUCCUUUGGGAGAAGCUCUGAAUCGAAGCCCCAGUAAACGGCGGCCGUAACUAUAACGGUCCUAAGGUAGCGAAAUUCCUUGUCGGGUAAGUUCCGACCCGCACGAAAGGCGUAACGAUCUGGGCACUGUCUCAACGAGAGACUCGGUGAAAUUAUAGUACCUGUGAAGAUGCAGGUUACCCGCGACAGGACGGAAAGACCCCGUGGAGCUUUACUGUAGCCUGAUAUUGAAUUUUGGUACAGCUUGUACAGGAUAGGUAGGAGCCUGAGAAGCCGGAGCGCUAGCUUCGGUGGAGGCGUCGGUGGGAUACUACCCUGGCUGUAUUGAAAUUCUAACCCGCGGCCCUGAUCGGGCCGGGAGACAGUGUCAGGUGGGCAGUUUGACUGGGGCGGUCGCCUCCUAAAAUGUAACGGAGGCGCCCAAAGGUUCCCUCAGAAUGGUUGGAAAUCAUUCGUAGAGUGUAAAGGCACAAGGGAGCUUGACUGCGAGACCUACAAGUCGAGCAGGGACGAAAGUCGGGCUUAGUGAUCCGGUGGUUCCGCAUGGAAGGGCCAUCGCUCAACGGAUAAAAGCUACCCCGGGGAUAACAGGCUUAUCUCCCCCAAGAGUCCACAUCGACGGGGAGGUUUGGCACCUCGAUGUCGGCUCAUCGCAUCCUGGGGCUGUAGUCGGUCCCAAGGGUUGGGCUGUUCGCCCAUUAAAGCGGUACGCGAGCUGGGUUCAGAACGUCGUGAGACAGUUCGGUCCCUAUCCGUCGUGGGCGUAGGAAAUUUGAGAGGAGCUGUCCUUAGUACGAGAGGACCGGGAUGGACACACCGCUGGUGUACCAGUUGUCUUGCCAAAGGCAUCGCUGGGUAGCUAUGUGUGGACGGGAUAAGUGCUGAAAGCAUCUAAGCAUGAAGCCCCCCUCAAGAUGAGAUUUCCCAUAGCGCAAGCUAGU
rnacentral:rRNA from 1 species